rnacentral:rRNA from 1 species
GACGAACGCUGGCGGCGUGCCUAAUACAUGCAAGUAGAACGCACAGUUUAUACCGUAGCUUGCUACACCAUAGACUGUGAGUUGCGAACGGGUGAGUAACGCGUAGGUAACCUGCCUGGUAGCGGGGGAUAACUAUUGGAAACGAUAGCUAAUACCGCAUAAUAUUAAUUAUUGCAUGAUAAUUAAUUGAAAGGUGCAAUUGCACCACUACCAGAUGGACCUGCGUUGUAUUAGCUAGUAGGUGAGGUAACGGCUCACCUAGGCGACGAUACAUAGCCGACCUGAGAGGGGGAUCGGCCAAACUGGGACUGAGACACGGCCCAGACUCCUACGGGAGGCAGCAGUAGGGAAUCUUCGGCAAUGGACGAAAGUCUGACCGAGCAACGCCGCGUGAGUGAAGAAGGGUUUCGGAUCGUAAAGCUCUGUUGUAAGAGAAGAACGGGUGUGAGAGUGGAAAGUUCACACUGUGACGGUAGCUUACCAGAAAGAGACGGCUAACUACGUG